rnacentral:rRNA from 1 species
UACGUAGGGGGCAAGCGUUGUCCGGAAUCAUUGGGCGUAAAGGGCGCGUAGGCGGCCUGGCAAGUGGAAGGUGAAAUCCCUCGGCUUAACCGAGGAACUGCCUUCCAAACUGCUUGGCUUGAGUCCGGGAGAGGUGAGUGGAAUUCCCAGUGUAGCGGUGAAAUGCGUAGAUAUUGGGAGGAACACCAGUGGCGAAGGCGGCUCACUGGACCGGAACUGACGCUGAUGCGCGAAAGCGUGGGGAGCAAACGGG